AGUCUAUGUUCCCAUCAGCCUUGUUAGUGAGGUAAUGGCUCACCAAGGCUAUGACAGAUAUCUGGUUUGAGAGAAUGAUCAGACACACUGGAACUGAGACACGGUCCAGACUCCUACGGGAGGCAGCAGUGAGGAAUAUUGCACAAUGGAGGAAACUCUGAUGCAGCAACGCCGCGUGGAGGAUGACGCAUUUCGGUGUGUAAACUCCUUUUAUUAGGGAAGAUAAUGACGGUACCUAAUGAAUAAGCACCGGCUAACUCCGUGCCAGCAGCCGCGGUAAUACGGAGGGUGCAAGCGUUACUCGGAAUCACUGGGCGUAAAGGGUGCGUAGGCUGGCUUUUAAGUCAGAUGUGAAAUCCAAUGGCUCAACCAUUGAACUGCAUUUGAAACUGAAAGCCUAGAGUUCAGAAGGGGCAGAUGGAAUUAGUGGUGUAGGGGUAAAAUCCGUAGAUAUCACUAGGAAUAUCAAAAGCGAAGGCGAUCUGCUGGGAUGAUACUGACGCUGAGGCA
rnacentral:rRNA from 1 species